CCAAAGGCUCUUUUCAGAGCCACCCACGGUCUCGAGAAAGGAGCUG
rfam:Opisthocomus hoazin contig1726, whole genome shotgun sequence.